UUCUUAAACUUGAAACCCAUCAAGGUUUCUGUACAGAGAAAUAAAUAAAUAGUCGACAACGUUGUAACAUAGAGUAGCCAUAGCGAUCCUUAUUAGGCUUCACUGUACACCAAAUGAUACAUUAUUUACAUUACAGUUAAUUUAUACAACUUCCUAAUUGUGUAAAAAAUAAAAAAGGUAACAUUAUCGUUUAGCAUACCAUAAUUUUAUUCAUCACUGGACUCAAAGAUACCAUGAGACUAACGUAAUUUCUUUUCGAAGUUUUUUACAAGGCAGUAACAGAAAUAAAACUUGCAAAAUUCAACAAACACGUUUGUACAUUACGAGAUUUUAUGAAGAGAUAAAACAGAUUUAUUUUACACACAACUAUAACAAUAUAUAGUUACGCCUAUGUAGUUACAUAUAACCAACUUGUUAGACGCACAUUCCCAAUCUUUCUUACAAGAGGCAUAGUUCAUUUGAACAUCCAGGGUAAUAAUCAUAAUAAGAAAUUAAAAUCAUAGCUUCUGUAAUUCAGGAAGUUAUACCAAACGUUCCAUUACUGUGUAGGCUAUUUAGGUAGGUUUGUCUUUACUAAUCCCACCAUUGAAGACUUUCCAUUACUGUGUAGGCUAUUUAGGUAGGUUUGUCUUUACUAAUCCCACUAUUGAAGACUUUCCAUUACUGUGUAGGCUAUUUAGGUAGGUUUGUCUUUACUAAUCCCACUAUUGAAGACUUUCCGUUAAUGCGUAGGCUAUUUAGGUAGGUUUGUCUUUACUAAUCCCACUAUUGAAGACUUUCCGUUAAUGCGUAGGCUAUUUAGGUAGGUUUGUC